GCCCGGUUAGCUCGGACGGUAGAGCGCGGGACUUUUAAUCCUGAGGUCGAGGGUUCAAGUCCCUCAUCGGGCG
rnacentral:tRNA from 1 species